UCUCAGUUAGUAUAGUGGUCAGUAUCUCCGCCUGUCAGCCACAGGUUCGCGGAAGACCCGGGUUCGAUUCCCGGACUGAGAG
rnacentral:tRNA from 1 species